CCUCUCUCUCAAAUCUGUUUCGAAUCUGUUUAAUUUUGGGUAUUGGGAUGAUCAGAAGAUCUUGAAGCAUAGCUUCUGUUCUGCAGGAUGGAUUGACAAGGACAAGAUAGCUGGUGGGUUUUGUAGUCCUAAAUGGAAGAUCAGUCCAGGAGGUACUCUAGAGUUCUUCUGGCCUUGACACAUAGAAUGUAGAGAGAGGAAUGCAUCACCUACACCUCCCUAAGAAUGGUAGUACUUUCAGUAACAAUAGGGAGGUCAAGAUUAUAAGGGAAAUUAAUGACAUCUGUUUUCAGGUAUCAGUACCUCAAGAGAUUAAACAUGAUAAUUAAAGUGAGAGCCAAAAGGGUUUUGAAAAAGUUGGGCAACAUGAUUUGUGAGUAGUGGAGAGGCAUGUCCUAGUUACGCAGUGAUAAAUAGUCUUGCAUACAGUUCGUGCUGUUCAAUUCUGCUCACCCAUGGGCAUGUUUGGAAGUUUGUGUUGAAACAUGCAUAUAACAGGACUGGGGAUGUUAAGACCAGGAGCUCUGGUCUCUUCUGUUAGGUCCUCCUUUCCUCAGUCCUCAAGACCCUGUGUCUUCCCUUUGACUAAAGACCCUUAAUGAUGGAGACAUGGGGGUGAGAGAGUGGUAGUCAUGGUGAGCAAGUGGUAAUCUGGGUGACACAGGAACAAAUCCUAGCUGAUGCCCUUUUCCCUUCCUGCUCCUUAGCCAGGCUCGAAUCCCUCUUCCUGGGAGAUCUUCCUUGAGUCCUGUUGCGCACCUUGUUCUUCCUUCUCUUUGAGUGCCUGUUGACAGUGGUUAUGAUCUCAGCACUAGCUUAACACUGACACUAAUUAUUCUAUUUUUUUUUUCUUUUGAGAUGGAGUCUCACUCUGUCGCCCA
rnacentral:lncRNA from 1 species